UUGUUUCGAGUUUCAAAAAUUUUCUCUAAAUAAAUUUCGCAGGACCUAUUGGUUUAUGUCAAAAUUCUAGUGUUAAAUAUAUUUUUUAAAAAUGUUAAGUCCGUUGCUAAUAUUAAUAAUAUUACUUCACUUGAACUAUCCUCUCUUGACCUACGAUGGUGGUUUGACGGUUGGAAGAAACCACACAAUGACUUACACAGAAUUUUAUAUUAGGCACAAUUUUGCUAUAUUCUCUUUGGUGUUUGUUAUAAUAUAUGUUUUAAAGCAUAUUGCGGGGCUAAGACAUGGUAUACCGUUUCUGCUGGUACUACCUCGGUACCUUAUCCUAUUGGUCCAGUGGUUGAUAAGAAGUUGGCGGUUUAUUGUUCGUGUAUCGAGGCGGCGAUUUAUAGCAGAAGAAUUGCAAGGACAUCAACACCCUGUAGCACAUAGAGUAGAGAGGGGAGGCGGGGAUGCGGAUGUGUUGCUUUUCAUGAAUAACAACAAUAACAAUAACAAUAAUAAUGACGAUAAUGGAUUUCAAUUCUGGAAUUUAGUUCGUCAGCAUUAAAUCAUCCCAAUAAUAUUUCAUCCAAUCUCAAAACUAUACACUAGAAAAGCUCAAUUACCAAGCUUUAUGUAAAUAGUUGGUUGUCGUCAUUAUAAAAUCAUCAUCAGUAAAGGGGAUAAAUGGAUAAUAAUCAGUAGCGAAAUAUAAUCUACAUACCAAACUUUGUAGUGUUGACAAAUCACAUUAACAAUCAAUCAGUAAGCAGAGAUAUUUUCUAUUAAAUACAACAUAUCAUCGAUUAACGCGGAUACAUUCCUCUUUCAUGGUGAACGGAUAGGAAAUAGGAAUGGAUAGAAAUCAGCAACGAAAUUUAUUUUGGAAAAAAAUAGAAGCAGCGUAAUGAUUUACCUAAACGUCUUCCUUUAUGACAGUAAUCCAAAUAUGUCAGAAUAUCUCUAUCUAAAGACCUUCUCCAUAACAAAUUAAAGUAGCGCAACGAUCAGGAUAACUAUGUUCCCAAAUACUGGUAAUAAAAUGAAUAGAAAAUGUUGGUGGUCAACUACCAAAAAAAACUCCCUUUAUAAAUAGUCUGGAAUAAUGACUAUGUUAUAUGUGGUAACACAUAGACGCGUGAGUGAUGAUUGAUCAUUAAAGUUCUUCACAUAACUAUCCAAAACAUAUAAAAAAAGCGUAGUGAUUAACAUUUCAUCUUUUACCUAAAGAACUGUCCCAAGUAACAGGUAUAUUUUGUGAUGUACAAUCAAAAACUUUUUACUGAUGACAUAACACUGAAGCUUUCCUCAAUGUUAGUGCUAAACCUAAUAGAAAAUGAUGGUGACAACCAACCAAAGAAAUUCUCUAUAACAACACCUUGGAGUGAUGAGUAUACAGACCUUUCUAUAUGAGGAUGAACACACAUAGAGAAAUGUUCCAACUAACAGCUAUGAUUUAUAAUAUAUUAUAACAAAUAUUUUACUGAUAACAUAACCCUGAAGCUUUCCUCAAUGUUAGUGCUAAGACUAAUAAAAAAUGAUGGUGACGACCAACCAAAGAAAUUCUCUAUAACAAAACCUUGGAGUGAUGAGUACACAGAGUUUUCUAUAUGAUGAUGAACACACAUAGAGAAAUGUUCCAACUAACAGCUAUGAUUUAUAAUAUAUUAUAACAAAUAUUUUACUGAUAACAUAACCCUGAAGCUUUCCUCAAUGUUAGUGCUAAGACUAAUAAAAAAUGAUGGUGACGACCAACCAAAGAAAUUCUCUAUAACAAAACCUUGGAGUGAUGAGUACACAGAGUUUUCUAUAUGAUGAUGAACCCACAUAGAGAAAUGUUCCAACUAACAGCUAUGAUUUAUCAUAUAUUAUAACAAAUAUUUUACUGAUGACAUAACCCUGAAGCCUUCCUUAAUGUUAAUGCUAAGACUAAUAGAAAAUGAUGGUGACGACCAAGUAAAGAAAUUUUCUAUAACAACACCUUGGAGUGAUGAGUACACAGAUUAUUCUAUAUGAUGAUGAACCCACAUAGAGAAAUAUUCCAACUAACAGCUAUGAUUUAUAAUAUGUUAUAACAAAUGUUUUACUGAUGACAUAACCCUGGAGCUUUCCUCAAUGUUAGUGCUAAGACUAAUAAAAAAUGAUGGUGACGACCAACCAAAGAAAUUCUCUAUAACAACAGCAUGGAUUGAUUUUUCUUAUGAUGAAAAUGAUAACUUAAAGAGUCGAGUGAUGAUAAUUAGUAAUUGAAGUUUUUCCCAAAGCUUUCCAAAAAAGAGAAAUGAAAUGACAACAGCUCAGUGAGCAACCAUUCAAUUUUUCUAUGAAGAAAUGAUAACACUAAGAGGUAUAAAUCCUCAAGCUUUUCUCCAUGAUUGUGGUUAAAGAAAUUACAUGGCAAUCAGUAUAGAAGAUUUUCUAUAUGGGAAGGCAAUAUUGUGAGAAUCCUUUCGGCCUUCCUAUAAAAAAAGGAUAGAAAACAGUAACCAAAAAAAUAUUAAGAUUACAUGGCAAUCAGUAUAGAAGAUAGAAGAUUUUCUAUAUGGGAAGGCAAUAUUGUGAGAAUCCUUUCGGCCUUCCUAUAAAAAAAGGAUAGAAAACAAGUAUGAAUGCUGAUGUACAACCAACGACAUUUUCCAGUUCAAAUUCAGAUAGUGCAGCCAGUAACAAAGGUUCAUUUUCUUGAAAAAUGAUGCCCUUAUUCUAAGCCAACCUUUAUAUCAACUUCCUCUAUGCUUUAAGUAUAUAUUGGAAUUAAUUGUGAUAACAAGUGAAGAACGGAACAGUAAUUAUUUUUAAAAUUGUUUAAUACGUAAUAAACCUGAACCUCAUCCUGAUGUUGGCUAUGUUUAACUAACACAUCUGCUGCGAUUGUUUAAGUCUAUCUGCAUGCGAAUAAAGAAAUUUAUUUAAAGGGA